rnacentral:lncRNA from 1 species
CACAACCGCUUCUUCUUCUUCAUGAAGCUCGAAGAUAUACGCCUGGAUAGAGGAGGAAGCUGCGCUUCAUGUCUUCUUCAAAAAUGAAACAGCAGCCAUGAGAGAACACCGAUCCUAGCCAUAAAACAGGAACCCUCACGUCUCUUCUCCUUCCUCAGCAGUCAUUGAACACCAUAACACACAGACACGAGAGACCUAGGAUCCAAACAACGCCAUCGACGACCAAAAACGACCUUCCGUUCUGCUUUCGUCUUCAUGUUCUAAACACAAGACCCAAAAUCGAUAGCUUAUUCUUAACAGAGACCUAGAACCAAAGCUCGAUCCCAACCAUUUACAUGGAGUUUUGGAGCCUCCUAGUUCACUGAAACAAGAAGCUUCAUCCGCUGGGAGCUUGAUUUGAAACCAUUUUCCUCAGCCACUGAACGACUUUUUAAGUUCAAGUUUGUCUGCAAAGAUCGGGUUUCCCCGGCAACCUUUGAGGUCUGUUUGAGCUGAAACCAUUUCCUCAGCCGCUGAACGACUUUUUAAGUUCAAGUUCGUCGGCAAAGAUCGGGUUUCCCCGGAAACGUUUGAGGUCUGUUUGAGGUCGCCGGAAAGGUUCGACUGGAGUUCCGGCGAGUUUGAGACUUUUGUCAUUCGUUGGUUCCCUUGUCG